ACCAUAAGUUUCCUGAGGCCACCCCAGACCUGCAGAAUUGGAUACUGGUUGUAGGAGAGCUGCCCAGUGUUUCUUCUCCUCCCACACACCCAGUUUUAAUGGAGUACUUAGAACCCUGAUGUGUACCUUCUUGAAGGGCUCACUAAAAAAACCAGAGUCUUCCACCUCCAGGCUCACUGCAAUUGAUGCAUAGAUAAAACAAAUGUCGGAUAGCCAUCCAAUGGAUUAGUAUGCCGCCAUAAAAAGGAAGCACUCACUACUGAUACAAGCUUCAGUGUGGAUGAAGACUGACAAUAUUGUUCAUUGAAAGACACCAGACACAAAAGAUCAUAUAUUGCAUGAUUCCAUUUCUAUAAAAUGUCCAGAAUAUGCAAAUCCAUAGAGACAGAAAAUCACUUAGUGGUUGGGAGGAAAUGGGGGAAGGUGAGAAUGCGGAGUGACUGCUAAUGGGUUUCUUUUUGGGGUAAUGAUAAUACUCUUGAAUUAGACAGUGGUAAGGAUUAAACAAACUUGUGAAUAUAUUAAAAACUUGCAUUGUGUACUUUCAAAGGGUGAAUUUUAUGGAAUGUGGAUAUCUCACUUUUUUUUAAAAUGAAAGAAUGAAAAAAGGUGGCUUCUGUCUCAUCUGGACUCCUACAAUUUUUUUUUUUUUGAGACGGAGUUUCGCAAAUUUAAUUAUUGAUAAAUAUACCUGAGAG
rnacentral:lncRNA from 1 species